rnacentral:rRNA from 1 species
UACGUAGGGGGCAAGCGUUGUCCGGAUUUAUUGGGCGUAAAGAGCGUGUAGGCGGCCAGGUAGGUCUGCUGUGAAAACUCGAGGCUUAACCUCGAGCUGUCGGCGGAAACCAUCUGGCUAGAGUCCGGAAGAGGAGAAUGGGAUUCCCGGUGUAGCGGUGAAAUGCGCAGAUAUCGGGAAGAACACCCGUGGCGAAGGCGGUUCUCUGGGACGGUACUGACGCUGAAGUGCGAAAGCCAGGGGAGCGAACGGG